GAUGAAGAACUCAGCGAAAUGCGAUAAGUAAUGUGAAUUGCAGAAUUCAGUGAAUCAUCAAAUCUUUGAACGCACAUUGCGCCCGCCAGUAUUCUGGCGGGCAUGCCUGUUCGAGCGUCAUUUCAACCAUCAAGCCCCCGGCUUGUGUUGGGGUCCUGCGGCUGCCGCAGGCCCUGAAAAGCAGUGGCGGGCUCGCUGUCACACCGAGCGUAGUAGCAUACAUCUCGCUCUGGGCGUGCUGCGGGUUCCGGCCGUUAAACCACCUUCAUAACCCAAGGUUGACCUCGGAUCAGGUAGGAAGACCCGCUGAACUUAAGCAUAUCAAUAAGCGGAGGA
rnacentral:misc_RNA from 1 species